AACAAGGCGUACCUGCGGACCUGCGGAGGGAUCAUUAUAGGAAAUUUUCAAAUACCCAAGUUGUGAGGGGGGGGGAGGAGGGAGGUUGGAUGGAAAUGGAAGGGGUGGUCCUUUCUUUUCUUUCUUUCCGGCUUUUUUUCCCCUCUUGCUUCUUCAAACAAACUAUCGCAACUAUAACAAAAGAGGGGAAUUGACUUGGUUAUAAGAAAAGAAAAAAGUGCUUGCCUGAUAUCUGAAUUG
rnacentral:misc_RNA from 1 species